rnacentral:rRNA from 1 species
GGGUUGUGAGGUUAAGCGACUAAGCGUACACGGUGGAUGCCCUGGCAGUCAGAGGCGAUGAAGGACGUGCUAAUCUGCGAUAAGCGUCGGUGAGGUGAUAUGAACCGUUAUAACCGGCGAUUUCCGAAUGGGGAAACCCAGUGUGUUUCGACACACUAUCAUUAACUGAAUCCAUAGGUUAAUGAGGCGAACCGGGGGAACUGAAACAUCUAAGUACCCCGAGGAAAAGAAAUCAACCGAGAUUCCCCCAGUAGCGGCGAGCGAACGGGGAGCAGCCCAGAGCCUGAAUCAGUGUGUGUGUUAGUGGAAGCGUCUGGAAAGGCGCGCGAUACAGGGUGACAGCCCCGUACACAAAAAUGCACAUGCUGUGAGCUCGAUGAGUAGGGCGGGACACGUGGUAUCCUGUCUGAAUAUGGGGGGACCAUCCUCCAAGGCUAAAUACUCCUGACUGACCGAUAGUGAACCAGUACCGUGAGGGAAAGGCGAAAAGAACCCCGGCGAGGGGAGUGAAAAAGAACCUGAAACCGUGUACGUACAAGCAGUGGGAGCCUCUUUAUGGGGUGACUGCGUACCUUUUGUAUAAUGGGUCAGCGACUUAUAUUCUGUAGCAAGGUUAACCGAAUAGGGGAGCCGAAGGGAAACCGAGUCUUAACUGGGCGUUAAGUUGCAGGGUAUAGACCCGAAACCCGGUGAUCUAGCCAUGGGCAGGUUGAAGGUUGGGUAACACUAACUGGAGGACCGAACCGACUAAUGUUGAAAAAUUAGCGGAUGACUUGUGGCUGGGGGUGAAAGGCCAAUCAAACCGGGAGAUAGCUGGUUCUCCCCGAAAGCUAUUUAGGUAGCGCCUCGUGAAUUCAUCUCCGGGGGUAGAGCACUGUUUCGGCAAGGGGGUCAUCCCGACUUACCAACCCGAUGCAAACUGCGAAUACCGGAGAAUGUUAUCACGGGAGACACACGGCGGGUGCUAACGUCCGUCGUGAAGAGGGAAACAACCCAGACCGCCAGCUAAGGUCCCAAAGUCAUGGUUAAGUGGGAAACGAUGUGGGAAGGCCCAGACAGCCAGGAUGUUGGCUUAGAAGCAGCCAUCAUUUAAAGAAAGCGUAAUAGCUCACUGGUCGAGUCGGCCUGCGCGGAAGAUGUAACGGGGCUAAACCAUGCACCGAAGCUGCGGCAGCGACGCUUAUGCGUUGUUGGGUAGGGGAGCGUUCUGUAAGCCUGCGAAGGUGUGCUGUGAGGUAUGCUGGAGGUAUCAGAAGUGCGAAUGCUGACAUAAGUAACGAUAAAGCGGGUGAAAAGCCCGCUCGCCGGAAGACCAAGGGUUCCUGUCCAACGUUAAUCGGGGCAGGGUGAGUCGACCCCUAAGGCGAGGCCGAAAGGCGUAGUCGAUGGGAAACAGGUUAAUAUUCCUGUACUUGGUGUUACUGCGAAGGGGGGACGGAGAAGGCUAUGUUGGCCGGGCGACGGUUGUCCCGGUUUAAGCGUGUAGGCUGAUUUUCCAGGCAAAUCCGGAAAAUCAAGGCUGAGGCGUGAUGACGAGGCACUACGGUGCUGAAGCAACAAAUGCCCUGCUUCCAGGAAAAGCCUCUAAGCAUCAGGUAACAUCAAAUCGUACCCCAAACCGACACAGGUGGUCAGGUAGAGAAUACCAAGGCGCUUGAGAGAACUCGGGUGAAGGAACUAGGCAAAAUGGUGCCGUAACUUCGGGAGAAGGCACGCUGAUAUGUAGGUGAAGCGACUUGCUCGUGGAGCUGAAAUCAGUCGAAGAUACCAGCUGGCUGCAACUGUUUAUUAAAAACACAGCACUGUGCAAACACGAAAGUGGACGUAUACGGUGUGACGCCUGCCCGGUGCCGGAAGGUUAAUUGAUGGGGUUAGCGGUAACGCGAAGCUCUUGAUCGAAGCCCCGGUAAACGGCGGCCGUAACUAUAACGGUCCUAAGGUAGCGAAAUUCCUUGUCGGGUAAGUUCCGACCUGCACGAAUGGCGUAAUGAUGGCCAGGCUGUCUCCACCCGAGACUCAGUGAAAUUGAACUCGCUGUGAAGAUGCAGUGUACCCGCGGCAAGACGGAAAGACCCCGUGAACCUUUACUAUAGCUUGACACUGAACAUUGAGCCUUGAUGUGUAGGAUAGGUGGGAGGCUUUGAAGUGU